rnacentral:rRNA from 1 species
UUUUCACGUGACCACUAGCAGGGCAUGUAGUUAAUUUAAGCUUAUAAGUUAAUACACAAAGAAACUAAACAGGAUGGACCGAGUAGUGGCGAAUGAAAAGUCCAAAGACCGAUCCGAAUUCAAGUUGUGGAUCCUACACUUCGGAAGACUCCAAACUACCUGGAACGGUAGGCCGCAGAGAGUGAUAGCCUCUUUAGAGUCGGAAGAAGCGUAAACAGACUGAGUAGUAUUUGUUGGGAAGCAAAUACGAACGGGUGAUAAAAGUCAUCCAAGUCUAAACAGAUCAGUACACCGAUAGCAAACAAGUAUUGCGAAUAAAACAUGAAAAGUACUCCUGGAGGAGGGUUAAACUCCUAAAAAGCUAAAAAUAAAGUCGUUGGUGUCGCUGCGGGUCAACCCUGCUCCAUCUGUCUUUAGACUUNNNNNNNNNNNCAUCAACCUAACCGUCUUGAAACACGGACCAAGGAGUAUAACAAGACCGCGAGUUCAACAUUGCAGAUGAUGGGCGUGCGAAAGCGAAAAGUAUUUCACUACUAGCGGAGCGCGUAUGUUAGGUCCCGAAAAAUGGCGAACUAUUUCUGCUCAGGCUGAAGUCAUUGGAAACUUUGAUGGAAGGUCUCAACGGUUUUGACGUGCAAAUCGAUCGUGUGAAGCAGGUAUAGGGGCGAAAGACCAAUCGAGCCAUUUAGUUGCUGGUUCUCUCUGAAGUUUCCCUCAGGAUAGCGGUCCCUACAGAAUAAUGUGCGGUAAAGAGAAUGAUUAGAGGUAUCUGGGAAAGAUUUUCCUAGGCCGAUUUUCAAACUCAGAAUGCGCAUCAAUGAUUUCUCCAUGAAUUGUUGAAUUAUCUUAGGGAUCAGUGGGCCUUUUUUGGUAAGCAGAUCGGGCGAUGAGGGUUCCUCCUAGAGUCGAGAUAACGUGCUCAAAGCUACAUCAAUUAAAUGAUGUCAGUGCAUACUGACAGCAGGAGGGUGGCCAUGGAAGUUGGAAUCCACUAAGGAGUGUGUUACAACUCACCUGCCGAAUGUACUGGCUCAGAAAAUUGAUAGCUAACCCGUAGCAACUAAUUCUCGACGCUAAGUAAGAGAGCGUAGUGGUCGGAUAGAAUCCAGAGCGUGAGCCUUGGUCGACCGGCCACCAUUGCAGAUCUCGGUGGUAGUAGCACUUGCUAAAAUGGAACCUUUUAGGACCACUUGGACGAAGGUUCCACGACAACAGCCAAUGUUCGUGGGUAAGUCGGCCUUAAUCGCGCAGUCGAGAAAAGCAACCAGGUUAAUAUUCCUGGACAACACAGGAAAACGGCAACGUUUGCGCGGGUAUUUGUUAGGUGUUGGAAGGAGGGGGACUUUCGUCCCUCUUAACAGCUGUACGCCUCUGGAACUGUGUGAAACAGAGAUAGAGGCAGACACUGGAAUAAGUACCUCUUGCGGGUACUCCUGAGCCAGCACUUGACCUCUGAAAAAUACCCGCGUUCUGUGGUGUAGCCGUACCAAUAGCCGCAUCAGGUCUCCGAGACGCAAAGUCUUCGGUUCAAUGGAUGAAUGUAAGCAAGGGAAGUCGACAAGUUCGAUCCGUAACUUCGGGAAAAGGAUUGGCUUCGUGGACUUAGUGAGGAAUGUCUGUCCUAGCGAGGAAUGUGACUCUACCGAGUUGCUCCUACGCUGGGCACAGCAACCUCACUAGCAAUACAUGAAACUGACGCGCAAACGAGGAAUCUGACUGUUUAAUCGAAACGUAGCAUCAUGCAGCGUGGUGUGGACAUGAUGUGAUUUCUGCUCAGUGCUUUGAAAGUUAAAGUUGAGCAACCGACAGAAGCGCAGGUCAACAGCGGGAGUAACUAUGACUCUCUUAAGGUAGCGAAAUGCCUCGUCAUCUAAUUAGUGACGUGCAUGAAUGGAGCAACGAGAUUCCUACUGUCCCUGUUUACUAUUCAGCGAAACCACAGCCAAGGGAACGGGCUUGGUACACACAGCGGGGAAAGAAGACCCUGUUGAGCUUGACUCUAGUCUGGAUCGGUUUGGCGACUUGUCAGGUGUAGCAUAGGUGGGAGAGCUUCGACAAUGAAAUACCACUACUGACAUAGUUUCUGAACCCACGAUGUUCGUGCAGCAUCAGGAUGCAUUUUCAUCGGCAAAUCCAGAUCGGGAGUUUGGCUGGGGCGGCAUAUCUGUUAAAAGAUAACGCAGGUGUCCUAAGACGAGCUCAGGCAGAUCAGAAAUCUGCCGUAGACUGACAGGAGAAAGACUCGCUUGAUUGUAGUCUCCAGUACGGACUACAAAUGCUAACGCAUGGCCUAUCGAUCCUUACGCGUUGACUUUUUCAGCUAGAGGUGUCAGAAAAGUUACCACAGGGAUAACUGAUUCGUGGCGACCAAGAGUUCAUAUCGACGUCGCUUUUUGAUCCUUCGAUGUCGGCUCUUCCUAUCAUUGUGAAGCAGAAUUCACAAAGUGUCGGAUUGUUCACCCGCUAAUAGGGAACGUGAGCUGGGUUUAGACCGUCGUGAGACAGGUUAGUUUUACCCUACUGUGUAACUCUAACAGUAGACCGUCUUAGUACGAGAGGAACAGGCGGCCGGCGUUUUUCGUAGUGGCACUGGUUGAAUAGCCACGUGCCUACACGAACACGCGUAGUUCGAUGACUGAACGCCUCUAAGUCAGAA